rnacentral:tRNA from 1 species
GUUUUAAUAAUUUAAGAAAAAUAUUAGUUUUGUAAACUAAAAAUGGGAAUAACCUUUAAAACU